GCACACCCGUGAAAACGCCCUUUCUUUCCCCCCGAAAUAAGGAGCUGAGUAUCAGGCACAAUACCUGCCCAAAACAUCUAGCCCCGCCACACCCUCAAGGGCCCUCAGCAGUGAUUAACAUUAAUAAUAAACGUAAGUUUGACCUAGCCAAUGUAAACUAGAGCCGGCUAAUCUGGUGCCAGCCGCCGCGGUUACACCAUGAGGCUCAAAUCGAUUCCAACACGGCGUAAAGCGUGAUUAAAGAGACAAUAAUACUGGGGUUAAACUUAAACUAAGCUGUAGUACGCUUGUUCUCAAGAAACUCUAACCUCGAAAGAUACCCCAACCCAUCAACUUGAACUCACGACAGCUAGGACACAAACUGGGAUUAGAUACCCCACUAUGCCUAGCCGUAAACUUUAACUUACAUCAACAUCGCCAGGGAACUACGAGCAAAGCUUAAAACCCAAAGGACUUGACGGUACUCCACAUCCCUCUAGAGGAGCCUGUCCUAUAACCGAUAAUCCCCGUUCAACCUCACCAUUUCUAGUUUAUCAGCCUGUAUACUUCCGUCGCCAGCCUACCGCGUGAGCGCCUAGUAAGCUUAAUGUCAACCACCAAAACGUCAGGUCAAAGUGCAGCAAAUGAAAUGGCAAGAGAUGGGCUACACUCUCUAUUAUAGAAAACACAAAAGACUAUGUGAAAUCAUAGUCGAAAGGUGGAUUUAGCAGUCAGAGGAAAAUAGAGUGUUCCUCUUAACCUGGCACUGGAGUGUGUACACACCGCCCGUCACCCUCUUCGACAGAAUCUACUUAGUAUUUAACACCAACUUCUUAGAAGAAGAGGCAAGUCGUGACAUGGUAAGUAUACCGGAAGGUAUGCUUGGGAA
rnacentral:ncRNA from 1 species